AUAUCAAUAGUCUGCAUAGCUUUUUAACCGCUUCUAAAUUUGGAAAUAGCAUGAGUAUCUUGAUCAUUUUAUUUAAAUAAGCAUUAACUUAUAUCCCAGAAGGCGCGUAUUAAUAGUUCAAAAAGGGAUCUGGGUAUAUUACAUUUGAAGUAUAUAUAUAAGACGAAGCCAGGUGUGGUGGUGAACUAUUAUCCCAGCGCUUGGGAGGCUGAGGCAAGAUCGACACAGCUCAAGGCUAGCCUGGACUAGCCAUCUUAGAAAAGCAAAACCAGUAAGAUAUGUAAGAGCAAACUUGGUUCGCCAUCAGCUGGUGUUCUGAGUUCUGACUGGUUGACCCUUUCCUAAGAUUCCGUGAAAGGAAAUGAGCUGUUCGCUGAGCUGCUCAUGGGCCUAACCGGAGACUUGGUACUGAAACAACUUGCAAGUGCCCGUGUCUUACCAGAGACUGUGCCAGGGCUUUGCACAGGGCCAUUGAGCCACAGCUACGUCUUUAUUUUGUUACUUUUUGUUCAGACACAGCAUUUCACUAAGCUGUGUAGCCUGCACUUGGAACUCAUAGUAAGCCAAACUGGCUUUGGAUCUGCCUGCCGUAGACGCUGGAGUAGCUAUUACAGACCUGGUCCGCUGUGUCCAUAUUCAGGUUACAUUACUUAAAUCAGAAAUAUAUAUCAAAACCCAGUGUAAAAAUCACUAAAACAGGGUGAGGGGUGUAGCUCAGUGACAGUGUACUUAGCAUAUGCAAAGGCUUGGGUCUAAUCUCCAUUAACUACCCCCAAGACAAAACAUAACCAGGAAAUUAUUCUGUUGCCCUCUGCCAGGUAGAGAAAGCAGAAGGAAUACUUGGGUCUGUAACUGUUUUGAAAGCAAUAUACCUUACUAAAGGUGACCUGAAAACGGAAAUGCUGGUUACCAAAAACCACGUCCUUUUCAAGGAAACUUUCACAAAGUGCCUAGUUUACAUGCGUGCCCAUUUUUGAAUUGAGAUGGUAAAAUCCUAGCACCCAGGCAGCAGAGGCAGGUGGAUCUCUGUGAGUUCAAGGCCAGUCUUUUCUACAGAGUUCUGGGACCGCCAGGGCUACGCAGAAAAACCCCCGUUUCAAACAAGCAAAAACAGUCCCAGUUUUCUCAGACUCUGCCUGUACUAAAAUGGUAUUAACAUCAGAUCUGCUUUCCAAUGUAUGAGCUGAAGCUGGGUUGAGACGUAUCUGUUUCUAGGAAAAAUAUACAAAGCCAUAUAGCACACUUAUUUUCCUAUUGCAACAGGAGUUUCAUUCUCAGUCUCGGAGGGGGCAUCUAGUGAAGGUUUGUGAGCUCAAUUCUGCCUUCCUGGUGACCUCAGGUACGGGAGAGAAUGAUGCUGGAUUAGGUGAAGAGCAUCGGGUUCUUGGUGCCUACAACAGAUUCUUCACCGAGUUUGUUCUAGACUUGCAUCACUAAUAAGAUGCUGUACUGUGUCUCACAGGCCGUUUAAUCAAACCUUAAGCUCACAAGCCAACCCACAGCUCUGUGCGAGAGACUUCAUGCGGGUUUUUGUUUAACAAGCUUCUAAGUGAUUCCUGCCAUUAAAAGCACAGAAGCAGAAGCUAUUAAAGGUGCCCAGGUUGAGUGGUGGCAGUGCUGGACCACGCCUUUAAUCCCAGUACUCCAGAGGCAGAGGCAGAGGGGACUCUGAGUUCAAAUCCAGCCUGCCUGGUCUACACAGUGAGUUCCAAGACAGCCAGGGCUACACAGAAAAAUAAAUAAAUUCUCAGAUUAUCUAAGAUUACAACGUUUGCUUGGGAGGGACCAUGACUACCUCUGAGCUUAUUUUAUUUACAUUAUCUGAUUAUCAAUAAAGAAUAUUCAU
rnacentral:lncRNA from 1 species